AGGGGUAUAGCUCAGGGGUAAUGCAUUUGACUGCAGAUCAAGAGGUCCCUGGUUCAAAUCCGGGUGCCCCCU
rnacentral:tRNA from 1 species